rnacentral:rRNA from 1 species
AUGCCUCGGUAUUAUUGCGAUUACUGCGACACUUAUCUGACCCAUGACUCGCCAUCUGUCCGUAAGCAACACAAUGCUGGAUAUAAACACAAGGCAAAUGUUCGUAACUACUAUCAGCAAUUCGAGGAGCAGCAAACUCAAAGUUUGAUUGAUCAAAGGAUAAAGGAACACCUGGGACAAGCUGCAGCGUUCCAAGUUGGCGCUCCUUUCAACCAACAUCUUCUUCAAUAUCCAGGAAAUAUGCCCCGUCCCCGUCUUCCGAUUCUGCCCACACCCAUGAUGCAACAUGGUUAUCCUCAACAUCAACAACCUGGUGGGCCAUUUGCAAGGCCUCCUAUUUUACCAGUUCCUGGGACUCCAGGUUAUCCUGGUGCUCCAACCAUGCCGCAGCACGGGGGCCCUCCUGGUUCAAUGCCUAUGCAGGUGGCACCUCUCCCAAGGCCUCCGACACUACAACCUCCAACAUCUGGGGCCCCAGGUGCACCCAUGUCCAACAACGCAUCACCUCCAGGUCCUCCACCGAUGUAUCAACCAAAUCAACCACCAACUGCAGGCUCAACUUCUGGCGCUCCACCCCUGGCCCCAGCGGCCCCUCCACAGGCUGCAUUCUCCUAUGCACAAUCGAAUGAAGGCAACCACUGA